rnacentral:rRNA from 1 species
UGGGGAAUAUUGCGCAAUGGGCGAAUGCCUGACGCAGCGACGCCGCGUGUGGGAUGAAGGUCUUCGGAUCGUAAACCACUGUCAGAGGGGACGAAGGCCCGGAGCUAACUACUAUCGGGAUUGACGGUACCCUCGGAGGAAGCACCGGCUAACUCUGUGCCAGCAGCCGCGGUAAUACAGAGGGUGCGAGCGUUGUCCGGAAUCACUGGGCGUAAAGGGCGUGUAGGUGGCUUGAUAAGCCGCGUGUGAAAUCCCGGGGCUCAACCCCGGAACGGCACGCGGGACUGUCUGGCUCGAGCAUGGUAGAGGCGAGUGGAAUUCCUGGUGUAGCGGUGGAAUGCGUAGAGAUCAGGAAGAACACCGGUGGCGAAGGCGGCUCGCUGGGCCAUUGCUGACACUGAGGCGCGAAAGCGUGGGGAGCAAACAGGAUUAGAUACCCCCGUAGUCC